UACGUAGGGGGCUAGCGUUGUCCGGAAUCAUUGGGCGUAAAGCGCGCGUAGGCGGCCCGGUAAGUCCGCUGUAAAAGUCAAAGGCUCAACCUUUGAAUGUCAGUGGAUACUGCCGGGCUAGAGUCCGGAAGAGGCGAGUGGAACUCCUGGUGUAGCGGUGGAAUGCGCAGAUAUCAGGAGGAACACCGGUGGCGAAGGCGCCACUCUGGGCCGGUACUGACGCUGAGGAGCGAAAGCGUGGGUAGCAAACAGG
rnacentral:rRNA from 1 species